ACGUAGGGUGCGAGCGUUAAUCGGAAUUACUGGGCGUAAAGCGUGCGCAGGCGGUUCGCUAAGACAGGUGUGAAAUCCCCGGGCUCAACCUGGGAACUGCCAUUGUGACUGCAAGGCUGGAGUACGGCAGGGGGGGAUGGAAUUCCGCGUGUAGCAGUGAAAUGCGUAGAUAUGCGGAGGAACACCGAUGGCGAAGGCAGUCCCCUGGGCCUGUACUGACGCUCAUGCACGAAAGCGUGGGGAGCAAACAG
rnacentral:rRNA from 1 species